rnacentral:misc_RNA from 1 species
AGUGAGUGAGUGAGUGAGGAAGCAGCAGUGUGUGUUCUGGGACACAAUGGUGCCACUGAUUCUCGAGAACGAGGAGACGCCUCCUGGAACGACGACAGAGAGGGUGGUUUACGUCUGUCCAAACCACGGAAGCAGAAUCUCCGUUUCAUUGGAAGUGUUGUUGGGCGUGGCACUUGCAGCUCUAUUAAGCUUUACUAAAUAAACACUCACAUCAACUGGAA